rnacentral:sRNA from 1 species
GACCGGUGCUAGCGACACGGGAGUGGCUAACGCAUGCUCUUGCCGUUCCCGGUGUUUGGGCCUUGCCUGUGACGGUGGGAAAAGAAAAUGGCCUUGCUGUGCUACAACCGGGGCUGCGGUCAGCGCUUCGAUCCUGAGACCAAUUCCGACGAUGCUUGCACAUACCACCCAGGUGUUCCAGUCUUUCACGAUGCAUUAAAGGGUUGGUCUUGCUGUAAGAGAAGAACAACUGAUUUUUCUGAUUUCUUAAGCAUUGUAGGCUGUACAAAAGGUAGACAUAAUAGUGAGAAGCCACCUGAGCCAGUCAAACCGGAAGUCAAGACUACUGAGAAAAAGGAACUAUCUGAAUUAAAACCCAAAUUUCAGGAACACAUCAUUCAAGCCCCUAAGCCAGUAGAAGCAAUAAAAAGACCAAGGUAUACUUUAUACAGUUACAUAUUUUUGUCACACUUGAAUAGUAGCACUUGUGCAUGGUACUUUCCUUUAUGAUUUAGCAUGAUACCAUUUGUAGUUACUAUGUAGGCCACCAAGCUUUGAACCAUUUGGUUUCUCCCUUAAAUCUGCCUUAAAUUUUUAUUUCUCUUCAACUUGAGAGCAUGUACACAAUAUAACUACAUAACAGAUUUGCAUAUUGUACUGUCAUAAUUACAGGGACAUGUAUCAUCAGGGUAGGGAAGUCACAUUUCUCUUGUGCCUUAGAGUGCAUCUUUUUCACUGUGGCAUGGUAAAAUUCUUUGAAGCAGUUUUCCUUGUCAUGGCAUCAGUUUGAAAUAGAAAAUAAUGCAGAAGCCUAAUCAUCCAUCUUUACUUUCAGAUGCCUGAAAACUACAGUUAUCUCAUUACUACUGGUCAAUUUUUAAUGCAUUUGAUUUAGAUGACAUAUUUGUGAAAGUAGUCUUAAAAAAGCUUUUGCUCAUUGUGCAAUAGAAUUGUACAGAUUCUUCAUACUUGCCUUCUGAUAACCAGACUCUGUAUUCCCACACAUGUAUAUUGAGUACCUUUGUUGAACCAGGUCUUCUUCAUGCCACACUUGAGUACUAAAUUGUUCUAGAAGCAAACUACAGGACUUAAAAAAAGGUGAUUUUUUUUUUUUUUUUUGGCCACAAGUAGGCACCUAUUGCAAUUUUUAUUCAUGCUAUGAACUCAUGAUUUUCCCUUUAUUCUCCAUUGAUCCUACUUAAAUAAAUUUAUAGAGUAUUGAAUAAUAUAGAACCAAGAUAAGAACCCUAAGAGACUUUAGAUAUUUAUUUGUUCAUUAGCACUCUGAGUACAGAUUAUUGCUAAGGAAACUACUCAGGAUGAUUUUAUUCUCUCUCCAUCUUCAUAGUUAGAGGAGACCAUUGAAUGCUUUGGCCAAUUUAGCAGUUAGAAAAAUACUUGGGAAAAGACAAAACUUCAGUCAUGGCUCAUUCUUAAUCUCUUUAGUAAUAUAAUACAGUCUAUACUAUAAUAGUAUGAGUUAAUUUUUUCUUUAAAUGAUGGGCUGUUAUUUUACUUAAAGGGCAGUGAGAGGCCAGGCACUGUGGCUCAAGCCCAUAAUCCAGCACUAUGAGAAGCCUAGGAGGGAGGAUCCUUUGAGCCUAGGAGUUUGAGAACCAAUCUGAAAGAGAUCCUGUCUCUCCAAGAAAAAAAAAUUAGCUGGGUUUGGUGGUGUGCUCAUGUAGUUGCAGCUACUCAGGCUGAGGCAGGAGGAUCUUGAGACUGACUUUUUGAAAAAAAGGACAAAGGCAGUGAGAUGAGAAAAACUAAAUAUUUUAUCCUAAAUUCAUUUGGUGGUAUUAUAACAAUUAUGAGGAUAUAGGUUUUUACAUACUUUUUUUUAAGAAGAAAAGUCCCUCUCUUACCCAGGCUGUAAUGCAGUGGCAUUAUAGCUCACUGCAGCCUUGAACUCCUGGGCUCAAGCCAUCCUCCCGCCUAACCCUCCCUGGAACUAUAGGUGUAUGCUACUAUGACUGUAUUAGUCCAUUUUCACAGUUAUGAAGAAACACCCGAGACUAAGUGAUUUAUAAAGAAAAAGAGGUUUAGUGAACUCACAGUUCCAUAUAGCUGGGGAGGCCUCACAAUCAUGGCAGAAGGUAGACGGAGUAAUAAAGGAAUGUUUUACAUGGUGGCAGGCAAGAAAAAAACCCAUCAGAUAUUCUGAGACUUAUUCACUAUCAUGAGAACAGCGUGGGAAAAACGCAUCCUCAUGAUUCAGUUACCUCCCACCAGGUCCGUCACUCACCAUGUGGAGUUUAUGGGAGCUAGAAUUCAAGAUGAGAUUUGGUUGGUGACACAGGGAAACCAUAUCAAUGACUGACUAAUAUUUUUUAUUUUUUUGCGGAGACGGGGUUCCACUUUAUUGCCCAGGCUUCAAGCAGUCCUCUUGCUUCAACCUCCUGAAGUGUUGGGAUUAUGGGCAUAAGCGACCAUGCCUUGCCUAUGUACUUUUAAAAUGCCUCUUUCGUCAGUUUUUUCAUUGUGGAUAUAGAAUGAAUAGCCUACAAUUUUUAUUUUUAUUGCUGUGUUUAUUAAUAUGUUUAAUACUUAUUUAUUGAAUGGACUUAAAUAAAUUGUGUAUACAACACUUAGUCAUUAUGAAAUGUUAGAAGAUGUUGUUUUUUUAACCCUACUGAAAUUGCCUUGCAAUACAAUUAUAUCUGAAUUUACAGAUCCAUAUGCCAGUGUCCACAUAAAUUAUCUCCACUGGUAGAAGUGAGUAUGGAUUCACUUAGAACUUACUUAUAUUUCAUGUUUAUUAUGUGCUCAGCAUUGAGCUUGGGCAUGGGAUGUAAAAGUACAUUAUGGUCCCUUCCUCAGCAUUACUCAUCUUGAAAACCUUGGAUUCCUAGUCUUUAUUCCCUUCUCGUUAGUGCAACUGAUUAAUACUUAAAUAUGCUGACAAUAGUGUGAUUAUUUGAGACUUACUAUUCUAAUAUAAGGAGCUUUUCUGUUAAGACAGAAUGUAGAUACAUUGUAACAAUUAUUUAUAAAAUACCUUCUUUUAACUUUUUAAUGGGAAUCAUUUGAUACACAAAGCAUUUGGUUUCUCAAAAAGCUUUUAAGGUUGUUAAUUUGGAGUACAAAAAAAUAUUUUGGUAUAUUAAUGGUAAUAAGGUUUCAAAAUUCUCCAGCCCAGAUGAACCAAUGACAAAUUUGGAAUUAAAAAUAUCUGCCUCCCUAAAACAAGCACUUGAUAAACUUAAACUGUCAUCAGGGAAUGAAGAAAAUAAGAAAGGUAAGAUUUUAGUUUGUUUUAUUGUUAAUUAUUUUCUGGUACAGUUAAGCAGUUAUCCAAAAGAGAGAAUAGUAGUUUACUGCAUAUAAAUAGGGAAAAGUUGCACAUUGUAGUUAAGAAAUUUUUUUUCUUCUAAAUGUCAGAUAUGAUAAACUACAAAUACUCCAGAACCUAAUAGGUUAAUUCCAUAUGUCUUUAUUCAAAAUGAGAACCUAUAUUAAAUUUUUUUUCUUUUAUGGGUCAUUAUUUUUUUAAGAAUCAGCUAAAUUUCUUUGAUAUUUUAAAAUGUUUUCUUGUACAUUAUACAAAAUAUAUUCACUAUUCUCUGACUUUUUACCUGGUACCAUGGGAGGAAAACACCCUUUCAUGAUUUAUUUUACAAAGUUAAGAUACUGGAUAUAACAUUUUGUUGUGGAAAAAAUUGUGUCCUGCAUUGUCGAAGACACCAGGUCCUCAAAAGAAGAAGAAGAAAUGUGUCAUAUAUCAAUUUGGGGAUAUAAGCAAAACCUAGUCACAGUCGUUUUUUAAAAAGUAUUGUUUUCUGGAAAAACCUACUUUUUAAGAAUGAUGCCACAGCGAAGUUCUAUUUUAACUUUUUAAUUUGAUUUUUUUUUCUUUGUUACAGAAGAAGACAAUGAUGAAAUUAAGAUUGGGACCUCAUGUAAGAAUGGAGGGUGUUCAAAGACAUACCGGGGUCUAGAGAGUCUAGAAGAAGUCUGUGUAUAUCAUUCUGGAGUACCUAUUUUCCAUGAGGGGAUGAAAUACUGGAGCUGUUGUAGAAGAAAAACUUCUGAUUUUAAUACAUUCUUAGCCCAAGAGGGCUGUACAAAAGGGAAACACAUGUGGACUAAAAAAGAUGCUGGGAAAAAAGUUGUUCCAUGUAGACAUGACUGGCAUCAGACUGGAGGUGAAGUUACCAUUUCAGUAUAUGCUAAAAACUCACUUCCAGAACUUAGCCGAGUAGAAGCAAAUAGCACAUUGUUAAAUGUGCAUAUUGUAUUUGAAGGAGAGAAGGAAUUUGAUCAAAAUGUGAAAUUAUGGGGUGUGAUCGAUGUAAAGCGAAGUUAUGUAACUAUGACUGCAACAAAGAUUGAAAUCACUAUGAGAAAAGCUGAACCGAUGCAGUGGGCAAGCCUUGAACUGCCUGCAGCUAAAAAGCAGGAAAAACAAAAAGAUGACACAACAGAUUGAGUGGGAGAUGGGAGGAAGGCUAUUACAUUAUUUCAGAAUUUUUAAUACUGUGUGAAGUGGUGGCUUGCUGCUGUAAUCUUUUGUUUUGUUGUUGUGUUACUGAAUGUGGCAUUUCAGGGUUAAAAUUAGGUUCUUAAAAGCCAAAGUCAGUUUGUCUUUUUGUGCCUCUCAUCUUUCUUUUGUGUUACGUAAGAUUGAUAUUCAUUUCUCCCUACUGGUAGGAACCAUAGUUGUGUCCUAUACUUGAAGAGGCUAGAAGAUAGUCCAUAACCAUAAUUCCAGUAUUUCUUUGUAUUUAUCUGUUAAGCAAAGAAAUAUUAAGGAACAUGUUUUUUUAUGUCUUUGUAUUAUUCCAUAAUUAGUAAAGCAAGAUGAAAUGUCAAAUUUUAAUCAGUUUUUUCAUGGAUUUGUGUUCUUACAGUACUUGAAAAUAUUUAAGGAAGAGAUGAAGCUCUGCAGUUUUUUCUAUGUGGGAUGAUCACUUUUUUAAGGAGGAUUAAUUCUGAGGUAGUAUAGUAACGAAAGGGGAAUAUAUAAAUUGUUUAACAAAUUAGAAUUUGUUUACAACUACUUGAAUUUUUAAAUUAUGUCAAAACUUACAUUACUUGCCAAGCAGUAUGAUGUAAGAGUAUAGGAAACAUAAAUAAGAUUACAGAGGUAUCAAUUUGGUUAAAAUUCACCAUUUUACAAGACUAAGCAAUAAUCUUAAAAACCUCUUUCCUGAAUAUUUAAAUGUGUUUGUAUGGUGUUAUGACUAAUUGUUACUGAUUUAGAGACUAAGCCCUCUUAAAACCUUUAGUUAAAUAUAAAAAGAAAUUAUAUAUAUCUUGCCUCCCUGAUGGAAAACUAUAAAAUUGUAGACUUAAAAGGUUUGUGGAAAUACAUUAGGAUAUCAGAAAACUAAAUAUAUGGAGUUGCUUUAUGACUAUUAUAUGUUAAAUAAAAUAGCUUAAUUGUU